AAGGAGCUUGCUCCUGAUUGAUAAACAUAUGAGUGAGUGGCGGACAGGGUGAGUAACACGUGGGUAACCUGCCCUAAAGUGGGGGAUAACAUUUGGAAACAGAUGCUAAUACCGCAUAAAACCUAACACCGCAUGGUGUAGGGUUGAAAGAUGGUUUUCGGCUAUCACUUUAGGAUGGACCCGCGGGUGCAUUAGUUAGUUGGUGAGGUAAAGGCUCACCAAGACCGUGAUGCAUAGCCGACCUGAGAGGGUAAUCGGCCACACUGGGACUGAGACACGGCCCAGACUCCUACGGAGAGGCAGCAGUAGGGAAUCUUCCACAAUGGACGAAAGUCUGAUGGAGCAACGCCGCGUGAGUGAAGAAGGUUUUCGGAUCGUAAAACUCUGUUGUUGGAGAAGAAUGUAUCUGAUAGUAACUGAUCAGGUAGUGACGGUAUCCAACCAGAAAGCCACGGCUAACUACGUGCCAGCAGCCGCGGUAAUACGUAGGUGGCAAGCGUUGUCCGGAUUUAUUGGGCGUAAAGCGAGCGCAGGCGGUUUCUUAAGUCUGAUGUGAAAGCCUUCGGCUCAACCGAAGAAGUGCAUCGGAAACUGGGAAACUUGAGUGCAGAAGAGGACAGUGGACUCCAUGUGUAGCGGUGAAUGCGUAGAUAUAUGGAAGAACACCAGUGGCGAAGGCGGCUGUCUGG
rnacentral:rRNA from 1 species